rnacentral:lncRNA from 9 species
GGUCACUAAGUUUUCCAGAGCUUAAUCUUAUAGGGUUAUUUUAAAGCUGCUUGGUAAGCUGGAACUUCAGGUGGGCAUCAUAAACUCAAGUCCAUACUUAAAAUGUCCAGGAGUUCCUGCUGUGGCUCAGUGGUAAUGACCCAACUAGUAUCCAUGAAGAUGCGGGUUCUAUCCCUGGCCUCACUCAGGGGGUUAAGGAUUCAGUGACAUUGCUAUGAGCUGAGGUGUAGGUCGCAGACGCAGUGUAGGUCACAGACACGGCUUGGAUCUGGCAUUGCUGUGGCUGUGGUGUAAGCUGGUAGCUGCAGUUCCAAUUCAACCCCCAGCCUGGGAACUUCCAUAUGGCGAGGGUGCAGCCCUAAAAAGCAAGCAAACAAACAAGAAUGUCCAGACUCUGGGUGUGAACAGGGUUAUCACACUGUAAAAUGCCUAUCCUAGGCUGCAACUCAGAAAAACAAAAGCUGCUUUUCAAAAAGUUGUUUUUCUCAUCACAAGGGGCAAGAAGAUGAAACUGUUAGCUAUAAGAGAAGGUCUGCCUGACCAGACCUGCAAGUUUGACGGCAAGUGGAUGCAGCCACAGCCAACUGGGGGUGGGGUGGUCAGGGCAUGGCCAGAGGCAUAAACACUACCUUCCAACCCUCUCAGCUCAACCUGCAAAAGCCAGAGGGCAAGGGAGCCGGAGCUGAUUGAGGCAGCCUGCAGAGGUCAGCUUCCCAAACAGAGCAGAGCAAGGUUGGACCCAAAGAAGGUACAGAGGCUAUCUCACACAGGUAGCAGGCUGACACAUUUAUUUAAACAGUUCUGUGGGAGUUCCUGUUGUGGCUUAGUAGGCCAAGAACCUAACUAGUAUCAGUGAGGAUGAGGGUUUGAUUCCUGGCCUCACUCAGUGGGUUAAAGAUCUGGCGUUGCUAAGAGCUGUGGUGUAGGUUGCAGACUUGGCUCAGAUUCUGAGUUGCUGUGGCUGUGGCCAAGGUCCAGCUGCAGCUCUGAUUCAACCCUAGCCUGGAAACUUCCAUAUGCUAUAGGUGUGGGAAAAAAAAAAAAAUGGAGUUCCCUUCGUGGCGCAGUGGUUAACGAAUCCGACUAGGAACCAUGAGGUUGCAGGGAUCGAACCCGAAACCUCAUGGUUCUUAGAUUUGUUAACCACUGAGCCACGACGGGAACUCCUGCUCUCUUGUUUCUUUAACUGUAAAUAUUCCAGCUAAUUUGACUGAGGCAUGAUUAAUGAUCCUUUAAACUUUCAGGUGUUAUUCAUUCCCUUGAAUCUUUGAAGUUGGCUCUUGGCAAAACUGUAAAUGAAAGGUUUGUUUUCUAGGCCCAUCUGCAUGCUUUUUAGAUCUUUUUGGUUCCCUGCUAGCAAUAGCAACUUUAGCCCCAGAGUUCUCUCACCAUGGGAGCAAUGGGCUCGCCAAUCCCAACCUGCUCUCUAAGCCUGUGCCUGCAUUCAAUGGGCAAUUAAAACUCAAUUAUACAGUUCUACUGUUUUCCUCAACAUAAAAGCAAUACAUGCUCAUGUUGUCCAACUUGAGAAUACAGAAAAGCAAAAGAAAAUAAAAAUCUGUUAUAAUCUUGUUAUUCAAAAUCAGAUGCCACUGUUCCUUGUUCCUCUCAAAAGUGUUGUUGGCACUUUUAACGCCACUCAUCUGUGCAUAGUCCCUUUCCUCCCCGACCCUGCUCUGCCUUCCAAGUUCACUCUGUGAGGCAGAGGUAAUGACUGAAUAAGUAAACACUUGAAAGUAUAUUACCUUGAGACCUUAGGCACCUGUUGAGGAAAAAAUACAUAAAUAGUACAUAAUAAAACCAAUUGGGACAUCUGAGGUUGGCUAGUUUACAGUGGAAUUCAUUGGCUCAUAGGACCUGAAUGUAUAGAGGUAGGAUGGGCUGCAGGUGUGGUUUGAUCUAGAGAUUGAAAGAGUCAAAAAGGAAAUGGUUUCUUUCUAACCCCUCUCUCUGCUUUCUCCACAAUGUUCAUCUCUUCCUAAGGUAAGUGCUUCUUGCAGUCAAAAUGGCAGCCUUAUCAGCAGUUUCUAGCACUACUUACUGCCUGGCUCCUGUCUAACAGGAUAUGAGAGCAUCUGUCUGUGACCCAUAAAUUCCUGGGAUCCCUUUUGAUUGGAUCAGCCUGGUUCCUAUGACCACCCCUGAACCAACCCUAGUGGCAAGGAAGAUGAGACAAUUAUGCAUAGUUGAGACUAGUAGGCCUCAAACUCUAGUCUCAGGACUGCUCAUAAAAAUUAAUGAGGAGCCCACAGAAUCUUUUUGAUGGAGAUUUUUAUCUAUUGAUACUUGCCAAAUUAGAAAUUAAAUUCAGGAAUUCCCAUCGUGGCGCAGCGAAAACGAAUCUGACUAGGAACUAUGAGGUUGCAGGUUUGAUCCCUGGCCUCAUUCAGUGGGUUAAGGAUCUGGUAUUGCUGCGAGCUGUGGUGUAGGCUGGCAGCUGUAGCUCCAAUUCAACCCCUAGCCUGGGAACCUCCAUAUGCCGAAAGUGCGGCCCUAAAAAAAAAAAAGCAAAAACAAAAGAAACCUCCCAACAGACAAAAGUCCAGGAGCAGACAGCUUCAUGAGUGAAUUCCACCAAACAUUUCGAGAAAGGUUAACCCUACCUUUCUCAAACUAUUCCAGAAAACAGCAGAGGAAGGAACAUGUCUGAAUACAUUCUGUGAGGCCAGUAUCACCCACCCUGAUACUAAGACCAGAUAAAGAUAGCACCCAAAAAAGAAAAUUACAGACUAACAUCACUGAUGCAAAAAUCAACAAAAUAUUAGCAAACAAAAUUCAAAUCCUACAUUAAUCCCACAUUAAAACGAUCAUACAUUAUGACUAAAUGGGACUUAUCCCAAGGAUGCAAGGAUGGUUCAGUAUCCACAAAUCAACCAAAGUGACACAGAUUAACAAACUAAAGACUGAAAUAGGAGCAUCUCAAUAGAUACAGAAUAAACUUUUGACAAAAGUCAACAUCCAUUUUUGAUGAAAAACUCUCAAUACAGGGGACCAUGCUGCAACAUAUAAAGACCAUGUAUGACAGGCCCGCAGCCAGUAUCAUACUUAAUGGCAAAAGCUGAAAGCAUUUUCUCUAAGAAGGAAGCAUUUUCUCACAGGAAGAAGACAACGAUGCCCACUCUUACCACUUUUAUUCAGCAUAGUGUUGGAAAUCAUAGCCACAGCAAUCAGACAAGAAGAAAUGAAAGAAAUCCCAAUUAGAAAAGAAGUAAAACUGUCACUGUUUUUAGAUGACAUGAUACUAUACAUAGAAAAUCCUAAAGAUGUUACCAAAAAAAAAAAAAAAA